rnacentral:rRNA from 1 species
UGGGGAAUAUUGCGCAAUGGGGGAAACCCUGACGCAGCGACGCCGCGUGCGGGAUGAAGGCCUUCGGGUUGUAAACCGCUUUUGAUUGGGAGCAAGCUUUCGGGUGAGUGUACCUUUCGAAUAAGCGCCGGCUAAUUACGUGCCAGCAGCCGCGGUAAUACGUAAGGUCCGAGCGUUGUCCGGAAUCAUUGGGCGUAAAGGGUACGUAGGCGGGUAAGCAAGUUAGAAGUGAAAUCCUGUAGCUCAACUACAGUAAGCUUUUAAAACUGCUCAUCUUGAGAUAUGGAAGGGAAAGUGGAAUUCCUAGUGUAGCGGUGAAAUGCGCAGAUAUUAGGAGGAAUACCGGUGGCGAAGGCGACUUUCUGGCCAUAAUCUGACGCUGAGGUACGAAAGCGUGGGUAGCAAACAGG